rnacentral:ncRNA from 1 species
AGAAAUGCGAAGAAGAGAAAAAGUAAUUUUUCAAGAUCAAUAGAGAGCUUGCGGUUGGUGGAAGCAAGUGGUUGAGUAAAAUGAACACACAUCUCUGAGCAAAAGAAUUGAAAAGACUCCUGUCGCGAGUAAGUUCUUUCGGUAGUGCCCGUUACAGCACUAGUGUUUAGAUGUUUUGAACACAAUAAGGCAUAGGUUGUAAGGCUUAUGUAAAAAAAGGUGGAACCACGAAGCAAAAGCUAUCGUCCUUUGA